AGGAGGCUUGAAAAAGUUUGGACGUUGUACAGUACUUCCAUAACUGGUUAUAACCUCCAAGACUAAAUCUCGAUCACUGUAUUCAUACCUGAAACUUCAUCUCAGACUAUGUGCUAUGGUUGAGGACAUUUG